GAGUUGGAAGUUUGAUGCCAGGCUUCAACGCAGCCACACCCCGCGCGCCCUUCACCCACGCGAGGCUUCGAAACACUAUCGCGUGCAGUGUUCGAAGGCCAGGAACACGGAAUAAAAAAAGAAAACACUAGGAUCAGGGCACGAGCACCCGUUCAUUCUGACGUCGGCCGCCUCCUCCUGGAUCACGAUCUCACUGCCAACCCCUCCCUUGCCCAUCUUGCCACGCUCGAUCUACGACUGUCUCUCAACGCUCCACACCGCCGCCGCCAUGGAUCUCUCUCCUCUAGCUUUGAACCAACCGCCUCUUGCGGCUUCCCUGGUGGCGUCCUUCCCCAUCCCCUCCCAACGGCAGCCGUCGCGUCCUUCCCCAUCCUCUCCCGACGGCAUCUGUGGCGCCCUUCCCCAUCCCGGUGGCCUUGUAUGCGCAGGUGUCGGUAACGGGCAGCCAUCCUUAGGCUCUAGAUUUGUGCAGAGCGGAUGUGGUGGAUUCCCUCGGUUGCGUACGCGUCAUGGGAGGCGCACCUUCCCCUGGAGGUGGGCACGCACAUGAUGUGCUGGUGGCCACGACUAGAUGCUCCAACCGGUCAAGGUCAUCGAGCGCCACAAGGGCCGUGCUUCCUCUUCCCCCUCUAACUACGAGUACCACAUCCAAUACAGCAGCGCGUGGUGCCGGAUUCUUAUCCACAACGUGCAAGCAGUGCGAGCCCUCGCUAUGCGUUGAGCGAGCAAGAUGUGCUUGGCAGCGGUGUACGACCUUGUGCGGGUGAGGUGAGUUCAGCAGAGCCAUCGUCUCUUUUCCCCUCCCCUCAAAUUUUUAAUUCAGAUUCAGCCGAGCAAAUACAUGGCUGGUGCUAAAUAGGCGAUCUUCAUAGUGCAGUAAGUCGACGGCAGUGGAUCCUAACCACUAGGAGCAUCUCCAUAUACUUGCAGGGCUUCCUUUGGAAGCAGCCAUAUAAUCUACGAAGUAAACUACAAUGGUCUUUGAAGUAGAAACAAAUAUGCUUUUUACUGAAACAAAGCUCUCUUGAUUAUUUAAAAAAACCAUCUACUGUAACUAAUAUGUUCUUUUUACUUCUGUAUUAUGCCUGUUCAAUUCUUGACAGAUUUCAUAAGCACACGACAUGUGGAACCAAAAUUUGAAAUCUUGUUUCUUCUUUGCUAACUACAAGGUUAAAUGUUUUAAAAAUCUUCAGUUGGUAGCUUCAACUCUUCAUUGCUGGAGGAAUAUUGAAUAUUUGAUCCUGGAGGAAAGAGGAUAUUGGGGGGAUUAUUCUGGGGUUGGCGAUGUAUGUUGAGAAUGGCCCAGAGGAGAUUGAUGACUGCCAAUGAAUAUAGUCGUGGCUUGCAGAGGACUACUCUAGCAUGGCGACACAUGAGAUGACUUGCACAGGUCUUGUUGCCUUCCUAAUGUUUGGUCAGUUUGACUGCAUUGCCUCCAUACAGAAUUACAGAUACAUAAAGCAGGAUCAUGCUUGCAUUUAUUUCAUCAAAUAUUACCCCUUUGUUAAUUUCAGUAUAUGUUCUCUUUUCAAAGGUAUUUAGAAGCAUGCCUUUAUUGUUUACUUUGUAUGCUGGGAAGAUCAAACUUACAAUGCAAAACUAUGAUGUUUUCUCUCACACCUACACUGCUCAUUGGUUUAAAUGGACAUAUAAAUGUGAUUAAAUUAUUUCUUCAUUCCGUCUUUAUUUUGCACGAAAUGGUUUUCUACACAUUAGUUACUUUUUCCCACUUGCCUUCACACUUGCCAGUCAAUAGUGUUCACUUCUACUGAUUGAAGGAUGGGUACUUCUAUGCCCUUUGAGCCCAUAUUGUAGUUAAUUUUCUUCUGAUUGUAUGUUCAAUUUAUCUCCAAAAUUUUUAUAUAGAUUUGAAAAUUUUGACUGAUAUUACCAUUGAAUUUUAUGAUUUUAUCGCUGAUGCUCUCGGAGGAACCAAUUACUACGUGGAAGCAACAUGGAGAUAAAGCAGGCGGAUGGAAGUCGAACUCCGAUUGACUAUAAUUCCUACCCAGUAAUUACUAGAAGACAUGGAGAUAAAGUAGAUAGAUCAAAGUGGAACCCUGAUUGACUUAUAUGUGAUUCAUUGCUUCUUGGAAGCAAUCGAGAUUAGCAUGGUUCUGACACCCUACCCUUUUCUCCGUUUUUUUCUCCUGGUUCAUGUAAAGUGGUUUUGAAGUUUAUUUUUCUUGACAUUCUCUGGGGUACCAUUAAUUUAAGCAAUACCUUGUCGUAUUAGCAAACCUCAAAACUUUCAGUGUUCAGUUCAGUUCUAUGAAAACAGCUUUGACAAAGCAUAAUUAGCUAA